GAAGGAAGAGGUUGGGAGCCUCAGGGAAAGUCUCGAAGGCUUGGAAAUACACACUGAGGAAUGGAAGAAGAAACUGGCCAUAGGCAUGUAGCAGAACACCUGAGAGGCCAUUACCCCACACGUCUUCCCAGCCUGACUUCCAUGGUUUAUUAAUCUUCCAGUGCUUUGGACUCUCAGCGUCUCUGUGGAAUUUCAUAGACAAGCAGGCAAGGACAGAGAUGAAGUUAUAAGAAGAGCCAGAGCUGUGUGGUGGCUUCUCAGCAGGCCUGGUCUCAACCAACCGGAAGACUCUCUACAAUGAUGCUGGGAGAAGCGAAGGCCCCUGCACUCCAAAGAUCAGAAGCUUCCGUUACUAACUGUGAAAAACUCAGCAGUGACCUGCUUGACGUACAGCAAUGCAUUGGCAUCAUUGUGG
rnacentral:lncRNA from 1 species